GACGGAGGAUGCAAGUGUUAUCCGGAAUCACUGGGCGUAAAGCGUCUGUAGGUGGUUCGAAAAGUCCACUGUUAAAAAUUGAGGCUUAACUUCAAAGAUGCCGUGGAAACUUUCAAACUAGAGUAUGGUAGGGGUAGAGGGAAUUUCCGGUGGAGCGGUGAAAUGCAUUGAGAUCGGAAAGAACACCAACGGCGAAAGCACUCUGCUGGGCCGACACUGACACUGAGAGACGAAAGCUAGGGGAGCAAAUGGG
rnacentral:rRNA from 1 species